UACGUAGGGGGCAAGCGUUGUCCGGAAUCAUUGGGCGUAGAGAGCGUGUAGGCGGCCCGGUAAGUCCGCUGUGAAAGUCCAGGGCUCAACCCUGGAAUGCCGGUGGAUACUGUCGGGCUCGAGUCCGGAAGAGGCGAGUGGAAUUCCUGGUGUAGCGGUGAAAUGACGCAGAUAUCAGGAGGAACACCGGUGGCGAAGGCGGCAUCCUGGACCAACACGUGACGCU
rnacentral:rRNA from 1 species